AUAUCUUUAAUCUUUAAUACAUGCUUGGAUCGGCCGGUAUCGGUAUCGGCCGAUGCUAAAAGCUACAAUAUCGGUAUCGGAUCGGAAGUGCAAAAAGCUGGAUUCGGGACAUCCCUACAUCUAUGUACACACAAACACA